AGAGUUUGAUCAUGGCUCAGAUUGAACGCUGGCGGCAUGCUUUACAUAUGCAAGUCGAACGGCAGCACGGGCUUCGGCCUGGUGGCGAGUGGCGAACGGGUGAGUAAUGCAUCGGAACGUACCGUGUAGUGGGGGAUAACGUAGCGAAAGUUACGCUAAUACCGCAUACGCCCCGAGGGGGAAAGUGGGGGACCGCAAGGCCUCACGCUAUAUGAGCGGCCGAUGUCGGAUUAGCUAGUUGGUGGGGUAAAGGCCUACCAAGGCGACGAUCCGUAGCGGGUCUGAGAGGAUGAUCCGCCACACUGGGACUGAGACACGGCCCAGACUCCUACGGGAGGCAGCAGUGGGGAAUUUUGGACAAUGGGCGCAAGCCUGAUCCAGCCAUGCCGCGUGAGUGAAGAAGGCCUUCGGGUUGUAAAGCUCUUUCAGACGGAAAGAAAUCUCUCAGGAUAAUACCUUGGGAGGAUGACGGUACCGUAAGAAGAAGCACCGGCUAACUACGUGCCAGCAGCCGCGGUAAUACGUAGGGUGCGAGCGUUAAUCGGAAUUACUGGGCGUAAAGCGUGCGCAGGCGGUAAUGUAAGACAGAUGUGAAAUCCCCGGGCUCAACCUGGGAACUGCGUUUGUGACUGCAUCACUCGAGUACGGCAGAGGGAGGUGGAAUUCCGCGUGUAGCAGUGAAAUGCGUAGAUAUGCGGAGGAACACCGAUGGCGAAGGCAGCCUCCUGGGCCAGUACUGACGCUCAUGCACGAAAGCGUGGGGAGCAAACAGGAUUAGAUACCCCGGUAGUCCAA
rnacentral:rRNA from 1 species